UUACAAAUAGUCCACGACUAAAACUGUUUAAAGUUUUUAGUAUUUUAUACAGUAUUCAAGUGGACAAUAGGAAAAUAUUUUUUUCCUCUUAAAAAUACUUAAAAAUUAAUGGGUAAUUUUUAAUUAAUAAAAAAUAACAUGAAAAAAAU